ACAGAUUCGUUCAGAGUUUUGAUCCUGGCUCAGGAUGAACGCUGGCGGCGUGCCUAACACAUGCAAGUCGAACGAAGCGCUUGAAGUUUUCGGAUGGAAAGUGACUGAGUGGCGGACGGGUGAGUAACGCGUGGAUAACCUGCCUCAUACAGGGGGAUAACAGUUAGAAAUGACUGCUAAUACCGCAUAAGCGCACAGUACCGCAUGGUACAGUGUGAAAAACUCCGAUGGUAUGAGAUGGAUCCGCGUCUGAUUAGCUAGUUGGCGGGGUAACGGCCCACCAAGGCGACGAUCAGUAGCCGACCUGAGAGGGUGACCGGCCACAUUGGGACUGAGACACGGCCCAA
rnacentral:rRNA from 1 species